UCAAUUAUGACUAACUACAUUUCUUUUCAGGGUUGAACAAAUAACACAGACCUAUACAUUUUAUUUCAAUAUCCUAUUACAAUUUACCAGGGUUGACAAAACCCCCCCUUUUUUUAAUAUUAUUAUUGCACCUGAAUUUGACCUUGAAAAUAUACCUAUUAUAUUUUCUCUUAAAGCUUUUAAGCAAUUAACAUAAUGUGUGCAGUAGUUGUAUUUUCAUUUCAGUAGCUAAAUAAGGAGGUAGGCAUAUUUCAGUAGCUAAGGAGGUAGGCACUUUUCAGUAGCUAAAUAAGGAGGUAGGCACUUUUCAGUAGCUAAAUAAGGAGGUAGGCACUUUUCAGUAGCUAAAUAAGGAGGUAGGCACUUUUCAGUAGCUAAAUAAGGAGGUAGGCACUUUUCAGUAGCUAAAUAAGGAGGUAGGCAUAACAUUUGGAUUGGAAUCUGUGCCUUGCAUGCAGCAAUAGAUCUCUAAUCUGCUAAAUGGUGGUCCCUGUUCUCCUGCAUUCUUGUUUUACUUUUGUAAGUAAAGCAGUGGUUUGUUGGGGAGAAGAACAUCAAGGAAACUGCUGACAGAUUUUAUAGCUAGCUAACGUUAGCUCUCUGGCUAAUCGUCUAUGUACAUUUACAUUUGUACCUGUUGUAGCCAUUGGUUGUACCUAGCUAGCUUUUUUUUAUAUAUGUUUAGUUAGUGACAGUAAUUGUGUGUAUGUGUGUGUGUGAAUAUUGUCAUGUCAACAUUUAGUCAUGCUAGCUGUGUGUGUGUGGGAGAGAGAUGGUUAAUGAAUACACAUAUAGGAAACAUUGAUUGUGUGUGAGACAUAAGCUGGCCUAAUUCUUGAAACGUGUACCCCCAAUGUGGAUGUGAAGUUUUUCUUCAUUCAUCAGGUAUUUUUGUGAAUUUUGUAUUUGACAAUACAAUACAUUUUGCCUAUCCCUGCUCCCCUUCAACACUAAUUCUAACAAUACACCUGUCAACUGCCUAUUUCAUUUCCUGAUUACUUAAAAAAAAACAGGAAUCUUCCAGCUUGGAAGGAAGGAUGGAGGAGGGAACAAAGGGAAGGAGUACAUUAGUUAUCCAGUCUGCUGACUGAGAAAUGUAAACAGUCAAUGUUUUGCUGUCUAUCUCUCUGCGUCUGUCUGUCUGACUGCAAGAUUGCUGAGGGGCAACAUAGUCAAUGUACUUGCUAUUCUAAGUCUAACUUAGUGAAGACCUUAGGUAAUGGUUAAUUAUGAUUAGUCUCAGUUUUUAUAGCUCCUGAAACAUGUCAAUGACCUGAUGCGAGGGGAGAAUCUCAAUUGCAUUCACCUCGCUCCUCUGUCCUUCUCAUCCAAUGGGUUUUGAGAAGGAAGUGAGGGGAGAGGACGCAAAGAGUAUGACAUUGAGAUUCUCCCAUGGACUUUACAGCAGUGCUUGGCCACCCACUCAGUUAGCAGUGACCUAUUCUGCCACAUCCCAUGGAAAGGAGUGAGCAGAACCACCCCUUCCUUUGCAUCAGGUCUCACUGAGACUGGAUUCCCCAAGAGGUACAUGCUAUUCAGCUGAUGAAGCGCAAGAAGAAUGUUAUGAGUGAUGACCAAUGAAUUAAUGACCCACUUCAAUAUGAAGGGACAGAGGAGCGAACAUGCCUUCGCUACCACUCAUGUGUGUUCCAUUGUAGUUGAGAAAGUGUCAUGAAAAGCCAGAAAACUCAGGAGGUUGAUGUGUUGCAGGCCCUCUGGAAAGUCCUAAAAUAUGCCCCUGAUCGCCAUGGUGGAGGAGAAUGCAAAGUAUGUGUAUGACCUCUGUCCUUGCCAACAAAGGGUAUAUAACAAAGUAUUGAGAUAAACUUUUGUUAUUGACCAAAUACUUAUUUUCCACCAUAAUUUGCCAAUAAAUUCAUUAAAAAUCCUACAAUGUGAUUUUCUGGAUUUUAUUUCCUAAUUUUGUCUGUCAUAGUUGAAGUGUCCCUAUGAUGAAAAUUACAGGCCUCUCUCAUCUUUUUAAGUGGGAGAACUUGCACAAUUGGUGGCUGACUAAAUACUUUUUUGCCCCACUGUAUGUAUUUUUUAACUGACAAAUAAAAUCAACCAAUC